GAAAUCCCAUGCCCUUUUUGCAUUUAUACAUGUGAAAGACAUGCGUUUACAUACAGAAACCACAUAAUUAUUAGGAACCAACAACGGUGCUCUUGAUUCUCACUGAAAAAUUACUUUAAGUCACAUGGGAAAUUUUUCUAAGAGCUUAAAAUCAGAGCCCUGCCCAGUCAACAACACUGUGAAUGUGUCCUGGCUAGGCUACAAAGGUAUUCAGAAAAUCUUGAAUUAGGACAGCAAAAAUGAAACAUAAGCAGUGUCAAAUCAAUACUGUGGAAGAUGGUGUGAGAAAAAGAACACAUGUAUAUGUAUGUAUGACUGGGUUACUAUGCUGUACCACAGAAAUUGACACAACACUAUAAAUCAACUAUACUCUAAUAAGGAAUUUUUAAUAAAAAAAAUUAAAAGCACUGAGAGUACCAAAAAACCCUACUGUGGGCAUUUUUAAAGUUAUUUGGCUUAAGUCGUCAUAUAAUCAGAAAUAAAGUAUCACUGCUGCUUUCAAAGGGACAGAGAGCAGAGUAAAGAUUUGCUCAGAGACAUAUAAGCACUUAAAAGUAAACAGGCACGGAUUGUGAGAUUACAUAUUCUAAGUAGGAAUCAGCUGCAGGCACUUCUGAAUCAUUUGUGUUUCUGAUCUUUUAGGAAUCAGCCUGUAGGCAAAGCAUAUGUUGAGGCUGCUGGUAGUGCCUAGAUGAGGGUGCAUGUACACGUGGGAGGGGUCUGAGCACCUCUCUGGAUGCCAACAACACCCCCCUCCCCGCCCCCAAGAGAAAGGAUGGUUAUCUUGGAGAAGAUAUUUGAUGUUGGUGUUGAAGAAAGUUCAGCAAUGGCUUGGCUAUGAAAUGAGAUGAAGAGUUCUGGAAGCCUGUGUAGAAAGGCUCAUAGAAGAAAGCAGGUGAGACUUUACUAAAAUACAUAAGGAGUAAUAUUUUUUUUUUCAAAAAGGGUAGUUCUGUAUAAUGUAAUUUUAGGGGGAGUCUGGGUGAAGGUUAUGUGGAACCUCUCUGUACUAUGUAGAUACUUGUGAGUCAAUAAUUAUUUCAAAAUAAAAAGUUAAAGCAAAUUUUAAAAGAUAAAACA
rnacentral:lncRNA from 1 species